UUGCACGCUGGCGGCAUGCUUUACACAUGCAAGUCGAACGGCAACGAGGAGAAGCUUGCUUCUCUGUCGGCGAGUGGCGAACGGGUGAGUAUAGCAUCGGAACGUGCCAAGUAGUGGGGGAUAACCAAACGAAAGUUUGGCUAAUACCGCGUAAGCUCCAAGGAGGAAAGUAGGGGACCUAAAUAAGGCCUUACGCUAUUUGAUCGGCCGAUGUCGGAUUAGCUAGUUGGUGGGGUAAUGGCUCACCAAGGCAAUGAUCCGUAGCGGGUCUGAGAGGACGAUCCGCCACACUGGGACUGAGACACGGCCCAGACUCCUACGGGAGGCAGCAGUGGGGAAUUUUGGACAAUGGGGGAAACCCUGAUCCAGCCAUGCCGCGUGUAUGAAGAAGGCCUUAGGGUUGUAAAGUACUUUUGUUAGGGAAGAAAAGCUAGUUUUUAAUAAAAAUUAGUGAUGACGGUACCUAAAGAAUAAGCACCGGCUAACUACGUG
rnacentral:rRNA from 1 species